CACGUGAGCAACCUGCCCCAGACUCUGGAAUAAGCGCUGGAAACGGCGUCUAAUACUGGAUAUGAGACCAACCUGCAUGGGUAUGGUCUGGAAAGUUUUUCGGUCUGGGAUGGGCUCGCGGCCUAUCAGCUUGUUGGUGAGGUAACGGCUCACCAAGGCGACGACGGGUAGCCGGCCUGAGAGGGCGACCGGCCACACUGGGACUGAGACACGGCCCAGACUCCUACGGGAGGCAGCAGUGGGGAAUAUUGCACAAUGGGCGAAAGCCUGAUGCAGCGACGCCGCGUGAGGGAUGACGGC
rnacentral:rRNA from 1 species